GUGCCAGGACGGAGCGGGUGGGGACCCCGCCGCCUCAGUCCCAGUCCUGGCACUGCGGUGUUGUGGACCCUGAGGAGGUGGGACAACGGCGGUUGUCCCUUCCCGGAACUCUAACCGUAUCCCCAAAGAGAGGGAUGGGAAUACAUUUGCUUUCGCAGUAAAACGAAAUGGACAGAUUGUGAAGAAGCAGACAAACCUCGCGUUAAUAUUCGAACCAGCCUAGUGCUCGGCGCUUCUGAGAGGAAUAGGCUCACAGAACAGCGGCGCUGCCGAGACCCCUGGGGUACGCGAGGCAGGGGGAUUCCGCCCCUUUGGAAGGUGGCCGAGACCCUCAGCCACUAAAGUACUUCGUCGAGACAGGAGAGCCCGCAGAGAUCGUUCUCUUCUGGAUAACCAGAUUAUUCCACAGUCAAACUUUAACCCUUUUGGGGGCGCUGUUCCCUUUAACAAACUCUGGAAAAUGUACACAAUCUUGUGCACAACACGAGAGUUAUGGACCUGA